GGAAUCUUCCACAAUGGGCGAAAGCCUGAUGGAGCAACGCCGCGUGUGUGAUGAAGGGUUUCGGCUCGUAAAACACUGUUGUAAGAGAAGAAUGACAUUGAGAGUAACUGUUCAAUGUGUGACGGUAUCUUACCAGAAAGGAACGGCUAAAUACGUGCCCG
rnacentral:rRNA from 1 species